AUGAGUACAAGUGCGCAAUGUCCUAUUUGCAGUUCAGAUUGUGAGAGUAUUAGGCGUGCCAUGUUCUUAUGUCCUAGAGUAUGGGAAAUAUGGAGAAUCUUGGGGCUGCAUGAUUUAGUACAGGAGGGUUGUACGCUUGAGAGAGAGGGUGGAUCGGUUCUUGCUUACUUGCUCCAAUCAAAGAAUUCUACCAACGCACUUGUGGCCGAUGUGCACCGCAAUGAUCUCGUGGCCACUGUAGUUUGGUAUGUUUGGUGGGAACGGCGUCAGUACACCCAUGGCGAACGUAUCUUCGAACCGAGCAGGUCAGCACAAGCAAUUAUAACUCUUGCUAAGAAUUUUUCUAAGGCCAAGUCGAAGAAGGUAAAACUUAAAAGGCACGGCUGGUGCUGUUCGCCAGAGGGAAUUCUUAAACUCAAUGUUGAUGCCACUUUUAAUCAUGACAGUGGAACAGCGUCAUGCAGUGAUAUUUCAUUUGUAGAAGAUGCGACAACGGCAGAAGCUAGAGGUUUACGAGACGGGCUCCUACUCGCAAAUGAAGUUGGGUGUAACAGAAUUUGCAUCGAGGCUGACUGCUUGGAGGUCGUCGAAAUCAUGCAAGGUGGUGGAAAUUCACUUGGACCGGCUGCAACAAUUUAUGAGGAGUGUUCUUUUCCGGCUCGCAAUUUUAUUUCGAUAGUUUUUUCUCACUGUCCUAGGGAAGCUAAUGAGGUGGCUGAUUUGUUGGCUAGGAACUCGGAGGUUUCUCGAACCAUUGUUUGGAAAUCGGAGCCCCCGGGUUUUCUACUGGAUGUAUGAACAAACGAUGUAUCGCUGUUUUCGCAUGAAAUAUAA
rnacentral:rRNA from 1 species